GGUCCGCUGGCGUAAUGGCAGCGCGUCUGACUACGAUUCUCUAAUCAAUGUAUCAGGAGGUUCCAGGUUCGACCCCUGGGCGGAUCG
rnacentral:tRNA from 1 species